rnacentral:rRNA from 1 species
UACGUAGGGUCCGAGCGUUGUCCGGAAUUAUUGGGCGUAAAGGGCUCGUAGGCGGUCCGUCACGUCGGGAGUGAAAACUCAGGGCUCAACCCUGAGCGUGCUUCCGAUACGGGCGGACUAGAGGUAUGCAGGGGAGAACGGAAUUCCUGGUGUAGCGGUGGAAUGCGCAGAUAUCAGGAGGAACACCAAUAGCGAAGGCAGCUCGCUGGGACGGUACUGACGCUAAGGCGCGAAAGCGUGGGGAGCGAACAGG